rnacentral:rRNA from 1 species
UGGGGAAUAUUGGACAAUGGGCGAAAGCCUGAUCCAGCCAUGCCGCGUGUGUGAAGAAGGUCUUCGGAUUGUAAAGCACUUUAAGUUGGGAGGAAGGGCAGUAAGCGAAUACCUUGCUGUUUUGACGUUACCGACAGAAUAAGCACCGGCUAACUCUGUGCCAGCAGCCGCGGUAAUACAGAGGGUGCAAGCGUUAAUCGGAAUUACUGGGCGUAAAGCGCGCGUAGGUGGUUCGUUAAGUUGAAUGUGAAAGCCCCGGGCUCAACCUGGGAACUGCAUCCAAAACUGGCGAGCUAGAGUAGGGCAGAGGGUGGUGGAAUUUCCUGUGUAGCGGAGAAAUGCGUAGAUAUAGGAAGGAACACCAGUGGCGAAGGCGACCACCUGGGCUCAUACUGACACUGAGGUGCGAAAGAGUGGGGAGCAAACAGG